rnacentral:lncRNA from 10 species
CCUUUGCAUUGUGAGGCGGGAACCGUAAUCUGCAUUUCUUAAAAGAUCUCUAAGAGGGAGGUGGGAAACAAAUGCCAGUGGGCAAGGGCGAAACAGGGAGACAAUUUCAGCAACCAUUUCAGUGCCCUAAGAAGGAGAUGGCGAGGAGUGAAUGAUCUUCGUGGCCUGGCAGGUGAAGAAGGAGGAGCUCACAUUGUUGACAAUUAACCCAAUCCAAGAGACCUGCAUAAAUCAAUCACUACAGGAAAAAAAAAAUUGUUCUUGAUCUACAGUGACAAAUGUGUAGACAAGACUUCACUCGCAUCCUGCAGCUGCUCGGCAGGAAUCCUGCACCCGCCUCCAGCCAAGGACUCCUUGACAAGUUCACGAAAGGGCAAUGAACGUUGGAGGUCAGCUCCUGGCUGCCUCGUCCGCUGCUGGGCUGCCCAAGUGAACAGGAGCAAGUGAGUGUUGAAAGGAGAAACAAGAAGCACCAUA